UAUAUUGCCUACUUCAUUUGGCAGAUUUUCCCUUAUUCUGUGUAAUAUAGUUUAAUACGCCGUCCGUUGCAGUAUCCAGUGUGAGGCAGUUGUUGCAAAUAUUAAGUAACAAACAAGCCAGUACGCGCUAAUAAACAGAUAAAGGCAUUCUCAAUUUGCGAAACAAAAUCGAGCAAAUCCGACCAGCUAUGGAGCAGAUACUGCUUUUCCUAUUUGUUGAAAGGUUAUUACCAGAGAUAUAUUCAGGCAACGCGUUGAUAAUAUUGCAUUUAUCAAUGCCCACGUUGUAAUAAAUAGGUACUCGCAGGAUGGAAAAUCAUUUCAGAAGAUGAUUUCAGAAACAGUUUUACGGGACGCAUUAUACUAUUUUCAAAAAUUUACAUUUCAGUUGUAUUUUAUUUUCAUUGAUUCCCAUUUCAUGAG